UCGCUGGGAUGGGUCUGCAUGAAUGCGCAGGGCAAACAGAGAAAUGGUCCUGGGCUCACUUAAGCUUUAAUUAAUAACGAGGGCCAUAAAGUGAAUUUGUGUGUGUUUGGAAUUUAAACUGUUUGCUUGGGAUUUUAUAUGAGCCGCAAAGUAAAUUGUAAAGCUUUUUCCGUGGAUGCAGGGUCCUUAUGAAUCCCGGACGCCAAGAGUUUGGCACGCAUGCGUUAACUCGCCCCGGCCUCGCUUCAGCAGCGAUCAUGUGCCACGGCCUUUCGACGCCCAUGCUCUGGCCAAACACACAGGUCAGGAGAUAGGAGACGUUGGGGAAGCUUACCUUCAGAACGUAUCUGCUGUUUCAUCCAUCAGCAUAAUCUGGAAGCUCCUUCUUCGAGUUCUCAUCAUACAGAGUAGAUCAAAGUAAUUUCAUUGAAAGCCUCCUCAUCCCUGCUUGACCCUGUGGAAAUCUCCAUCCUGCCCUCCAGUUCCAUUUCAGAGCCUUCUGGACAAAAACCACAAGAUGAUGAACACUGGAAGUGAAGUUCAAAAAAACGACCUAUAUUCACGUCACAGAUGUGAUCAGUUCCUUGUUCAGGGACUCGGCCAUUUAUGCAACAUAACUGCUGUACCAGGUUUCAAAGUGAGAACAGGCUUGGGAGACAGGCUGCCAUUUGUACUGCAAUAACCAAAAACUGGAAUGGGUGAACAGAUAAAUAUUUAUUCGCUAUCUGUUAGCUUUCGUGACAGUAAGCCUGUAAAACUGAGGUUUAAAAUAUCAUGCAAAAGUUUAACAAUUGAAUUUAAUGAGAUCCUUUCAAGGAUCAUGUGCAACUUUUAGUCUAUAAAAAUAUUUAAAUGCUUUUGAAUGUUUAGUCAUUUGUAUUCAGAAAAUGAAAGCUGGACAAAAUAGAUGAACAAUACUCAGAAAAUGGCAAAUAUUGUCUUCCUCCUCAUGUCCUCAUGUCUUGAUGAUUAUCUCUUUAGCUGGGAGCCUGUAGGCAUGUUAUGUUUCUGAAGAGCAUAAUGGAACAUGACUGUGAGCUAAAAAGCUUCAUGUAUCAUUAAUUAAAGGGCCGCGUAGAAAACGA